UACAGAGACUGCAAGCGUUAUUCGGAUUCACUGGGCGUAAAGGGUGCGCAGGCGGCCGUGUGUGUGAGACGUGAAAGCCCGGGGCUUAACCCCGGAAUUGCACCUCAAACUACAUGGCUAGAGCAUUGGAGAGGGUAGCGGAAUUCACGGUGUAGCAGUGAAAUGCGUAGAUAUCGUGAGGAACACCAGAGGCGAAGGCGGCUACCUGGACAAUUGCUGACGCUCAGGCACGAAAGCGUGGGGAGCAAAAGGG
rnacentral:rRNA from 1 species